rnacentral:rRNA from 1 species
UUGAACGCUGGCGGGAUGCUUUACACAUGCAAGUCGAACGGCAGCACGGACUUCGGUCUGGUGGCGAGUGGCGAACGGGUGAGUAAUGUAUCGGAACGUGCCUAGUAGCGGGGGAUAACUACGCGAAAGCGUAGCUAAUACCGCAUACGCCCUUCGGGGAAAGCGGGGGACUCUGGGCCUCGCACUAUUAGAGCGGCCGAUAUCGGAUUAGCUAGUUGGUGGGGUAACGUCAUCAAGGCGACGAUCCGGGUAGCUGGUUUGAGAGGACGACCAGCCACACUGGGAUCGAGACACGGCCUGACUCACGCAGGCAGUGGGGAAUUUUGGACAAUGGGGGAAACCCCUGAUCCAGCCAUCUCGUGUGCGAUGAAGGACUUCGGUUGUAAAGCACCUCUUUGGCAGGAGGAAGAAACGGCACGGAUAAUGGCUCCCGUGCAACUGACGGUACCGCAGAAUAAGCAGGCACCGGCCAACUACGUGCCAGCAGCCGCGGUAAUACGUAGAAAAGGUUAAUCGAACACGGGCGUAAAGCGUGCGCAGGCGGUUCGGAAAGAAAGAUGUGAAAUCCCAGAGCUAAUCCUUGGAACUGCAUUUUUAACUACCGAGCCAGAGUGUGUCAGAGGGAGAGGUGGAAUUCCGCGUAGGCAAAUGCGUAGAUAUGCGGAGGAACACCGAUGGCGAAGGCAGCCUCCUGGGAUAACACUGACAUCAUGCACGAAAGCGUGGGGAGCAAACAGGAUUAGAUACCCUGGUAGUCCACGCCUCAAACGAUGUCAAAUUAGCUGUUGGGGCCUUCGGGCCGGUAGGCGCAGCUAUCGCAGAAGCUGACUGCCUGGGAAAGUAUUGGUCGCAAGAUUAAAACUCAAAGGAAUUAGACGGGGACCCGCACAAGCGGUGGAUGAGUGGGAUUAAUCGAUGCAACGCGAAAAAACCUCAUCACCCUUGACAUGUCUGGAAUCCCGGCGAGAUUUGGGAGUGCUCAAAAGAGAACCGGAACACAGGUGCUGCAUAUUACGUCAGCUCGUGUCGUGGUGAUGUUGCUGUCCCGCAACGAGCACAACCCUUGUCAUUAGUUGCUACGAAAGGGCACUCUAGAAUGAAUGCCGGUGACAAACCGAGGAAGGUGGGAUGACGUCAAGUCCUCAUGGCCUUUAUAUAGUAGGGCUUCACACGUCAAGCAAUGGUCGGGACAGAGGGUCGCCAACCCGUGAGGGGAGCCAAUCCCAGAAACCUGAUCGUAGUCCGGAUCGCAGUCUGCAACUCGGACUGCGUGAAGUCGGAAUCGCUAGUAACUGCGGAUCAGCAUGUCGCGGUGAAUGUUCCCCGGGUCUUGUACACACUGCCCGUCACACCAUGGGAGUGGGUUUUACCAGAAGUAGAAGCGCCUAACCGUAAGGAGGGCGAUUACCACGGUAGGAUUCAGACUGGGGGUGAAGUCGUAACAAGGUAG